GGCGCUAUAGUGUAGUGGUCAUCACUUGGGAUUCUGACUUCCAGCGUUCCCAAAACCCAGGUUCGAGCCCUGGUAGCGCCU
rnacentral:tRNA from 1 species